CUUUCUUGUCAAUUGUUGACUUUAUUUUGGGCAUCCCUUAUCUAUUUAAUGAAGCCCUUCCAAGGAGCAGGCAGAGGCGGUGCUAAGAGAGAGAGAGGGAGCGAGAGAGAGAGAGAGAGAGGGGUGGGGUAGUGGAGUGUUCCAGACCAUGGACUGCUUUGUGUUUGCGCUGGUAUACUAGCCUGGUCCCUGUUGUAACUAGACUGGCUUGUUCCAGUCCAGCACACCCCUCUUCCUGCAGGGCCUUCUGGAGCCCAUCCACACCCCUCUUCCUGCAGGGCCUUCUGGAGCCCAUCCACACCCCUCUUCCUGCAGGGCCUUCUGGAGCCCAUCCACACCCCUCUUCCUGCAGGGCCUUCUGGAGCCCAUCCACACCCCUCUUCCUGCAGGGCCUUCUGGAGCCCAUCCACACCCCUCUUCCUGCAGGACCUUCUGGAGCCCAUCCACACCCCUCUUCUUGCAGGGCCUUCUGGAGCCCAUCCACACCCCUCUUCCUGCAGGGCCUUCUGGAGCCCAUCCACACCCCUCUUCCCGCAGGGCCUUCUGGAGCCCAUCCACACCCCUCUUCCCGCAGGGCCUUCUGGAGCCCAUCCACACCCCUCUUCCUGCAGGGCCUUCUGGAGCCCAUCCACACCCCUCUUCCUGCAGGGCCUUCUGGAGCCCAUCCACACCCCUCUUCCUGCAGGGCCUUCUGGAGCCCAUCCACACCCCUCUUCCUGCAGGGCCUUCUGGAGCCCAUCCACCACUGCAAGCUCUCUUUGCAUGCAAAUCCACUCUGCCUCUAAGGCAUUAAGAUUAAUACAUAGCUUUCAUAAACAAUGGACAUCUACUGAAGAUACAUAUGCCUCUCACUACAAUAUUUACCAUAUAGCCUCAUAUCGACUGUUCUACAUACUACAUAGACUCGAUAGUUAUAGUUGUUUAAUGUUCACAUGGUUGCUCAGCAACUUUGUUGUUAACGUCAUGGCCUGAGGCCGCUCUCACUGCAACAAAGAAAGGGAUCGUCAGACUGUCGAGAGCUGUUCUAUACCACGACACCUGAGGGCAAGAAAAGGCAAGGAUGCUCAAGUGGUGAUUUUCUUUUUAAGGGCCCAUGCAAUACAAUUCAUUCACAUUCAAGGGCAUAACCUGAGAUUGCGUUUUAGCACGUUUCAAUGAAAUUAUAUUCCACAUAAAUGUCGGCUGGAGGAUUACACUUUGCGUUUGCUUACGAUUGGACACAUCUUGUUAUUUACCAUUGUCCUUGUGGCUGUUUCGUUAUUUGAAACACCUCUCCAAUGCUUUACUUUCCAUUUGCCUACCAAAUUCAAUUUUGUUUAGCCAAUUAAUCAAAAAGAUGUAUUAAUUGUUUUCACAUCUUUCAUCCUCAUCAUAGAGCACGGUAAGGUAAUACUAGUUUUGUUAGGGUCAUGUAGAAAUGACAGGAGGUCUGGAAACCUGUGAGGGGAGCUGGUGUUCAUGAGAGCGUUUAGGAGUCACUGAGGGGGAGUUAGCCUGUUGCCACACUGCAAAGCUGCCUGAUGGACUCGGGACAGACUAUUAACUCUAGCCAACACCCGUGGCUUCGCUGAUGUCUGCUAAUCAACUUGGGUCCCCUCCAAGCCCCAAACAAAGAGGCAGGGAGGGGACGGUGCUUUGAGAGCUUUUGGCUUUAGGCUUUAGCUAGCUAUGCUUUGUUUUAUGCAUUUGUGGGUGCACCAAAUAUUGUUGAAAGAGGACUUUCCAUUUUUAUUAGAUGUCUUCUAAGACAGCCAAAGCCGAAUAUCCAGUAUUCUGUCUGUGAUAAGCAACUGGGAUGUGAGAAAUUACAAAAAAAAUGGUAGUAUUGUGAAGGAUUGGAAAGGGUUGGAAAGGGUGAGCUACAAUGGUCACGCCUUUGAGUCAGGGGUAGAAAGUAAAGCAUCUACUUACGCUGUAUAAUGGCUGGAUUCAAGUCCUUAGGCGUGGACCGCUCAUGGGACACACAUAUUUUGGAGAGGAGGGCUGAUACUGCAGGCCAAUGGCUACAGGGCUUGAUGGGAAAUCCCUAGCACAUUAAACCACUGGGAAAAAUCGUCCUGUUGUAUUUCUAGUAGCUUGUAGUCAAGUAGGUUUGUCCCAUUGACCAAUAAGCCACACACUGAAGUUCAUCAUAAACCAUACAUAGAUUGAUAGAAGUUAUAUGAUAAAGUAAGCUCAAACAUAAUCGUACAACUCCUCAGGCUGCUCUCUGGGCCCCUAUUGUUCUGAUGGUUUUCAUGCUGUGUUCUAUUGCUUCAAGAUUGAUCAGAUUCCGUGUUCCCAAGGCACAACAUGGGCAGUAUACAGUACAAAAUAAUCUACAGAUUGAAUGUUACAUGUGAAUGUAAAUGUGUAUAGCUACACUGCCUUCCGAAGUUAUCCAUACCCCUUGACUUAUUCUAUAUUUUGUUGUGUUACAGCCUGAACUAAAAAUGGAUUGAAUAUAUUUUUGUUCUCACCCAUCUACACACACUACAUAAUGACAAAGGGAAAACUUGUUUUUAGAAAUUUUAGUAAAUUUAUUGAAAAUGAAAUGUAUAAUAUACAUACAUUUUCAGCCCCCUGAGUCAAUACUUUUUAGAAGCAUCUUUGGCGGAAAUUACAACUUUGAGAUGUCUUGGGUAUGUCUGUAUCAGCUUUGCACAUCUGGAUUUGGGGAUUUUCUCUCAUUCUUCGUUGCAGAUUUUCUCAAGCUCUGUUAGAUAGAUGGGGAGCGGUGGUGAACAACAAUCUUCAAGUUUUUCCACAGAUUUUCAAUAGGGAUUCAAGUCUGGACUUUGGCUGGGCCAUAAAAGGACUUUCACAUUCUUGUUCUGAAGCCAUUCCAGCAUUGCUUUGGCUGGAUGUUUGGGGUCAUUGUUCUGUUUGAAUGUAAAUAUUCGCCCCCAGUCUAAGGUUGUUUGAACUGUGAAGCACGUUCUCAUCAAGGACUUGCCUGUAUUUGGCUCCAUUCAUUGUUCCCUCUAUCCAUACCAGUCUCCCAGUCCCUGCUGCUGAAAAGAAUCCCCAUAGCAUGAUAUUGCCACCACCUUGCUUCACAGUAGGAAUGAUGUUAGAUGGGUGAUGAGCUGUGCCUGGUUUUCUCCAGACAUAGUGCUUUGCAUUCAAGAUAAAGAGUUAAAUAUUUGUCUCAUUAGACCACAUACUAUUUUGCCUUAUGAUCUCAGAGUCUUUCACGUGUAUUUUUGCAAACUCCAGGCGUGCUGUCGUGCCUUUUUCUCAGAAGUUGCUUCCACUCUCCCAUAAAGCCCAGAUUGGUGAAGUGCUGUAGAGACUGUCCUUCUGCCGGGUUCAUCCAUCCCAGCCAAUGAACCCUGUAGUUCUGUCAGAGUGAUCAUUGGGUUCUUGGUCACUUCCCUGACCAAGGUCCUUCUUGCCCGGUUGUUCAGUUUGGUUGGAAGGCCAGCUCCAGGCAGAGUCUGGGUAGUUCCAUAUUAUUUCCAUUUUCCAGUGAUGGAGAUCAAUGUGCUCUUUGAAACUUUCAAAACUCUACAAUUGUUUUAUACCCUUCCCCAGAUACAGUGGGGAGAACAAGUAUUUGAUACACUGCUGAUUUUGCAGGUUUUCCUACCUACAAAGCAUGUAGAGGUCUGUAAUUUUUAUCAUAGGUACACUUCAACUGUGAGAGACGGAAUCUAAAACAAAAAUCCAGAAAAUCACAUUGUAUGAUUUUUAAGUAAUUCAUUUGCAUUUUAUUGCAUGGCAUAAGUAUUUUAUACAUCAGAAAAGCAGAACUUAAUAUUUGGUACAGAAACCUUUGUUUGCAAUUACAGAGAUCAUACAUUUCCUGUAGUUCUUGGCCAGGUUUGUACACACUGCAGCAGGGAUUUUGGCCCACUCCAUACAGACCUUCUCCAGAUCCUUCAGGUUUCGGGGCUGUUGCUGGGCAAUACGCACUUUCAGCUCCCUCCAAAGACUUUCUAUUGCGUUCAGGUCUGGAGACUGGCUAGGCCACUCCAGGACCUUGGGAUGCUUCAUUCGGAGCCACUCCUUAGUUGCCCUGGCUGUGUGUUUCGGGUCGUUGUCAUGCUGGAAGACCCAGCUACGACCCAUCUUCAAUGCUCUUACUGAGGGAAGGAGGUUGUUGGCCAAGAUCUCGCGAUACAUGGCCCCAUCCAUCCUCCCCUCAAUACGUUGCAGUCGUCCUGUCCCCAUGCUUUCUAAGUAGGAAAACCUUCAAAAUCGUCAGUGUAUCAAAUACUUGUUCUCCCCACUGUAUAUGCCUCAUCACAAUUAUAUCUCGGAGAUCUACGGACAGUUCAUUGGACUUCAUGGCAUAGUUUCUGCUCUGAUAUGCACUGUCAACUGCGGAACCUUAUAAAGACGGGUGUGUUUCAUUCUAAAUCAUGUUCAAACAAUUUAAUUGGCCACAGUUGGACUCCAAUCAAGUUGUAGUGACAUUUCAAGGAUGAUCAAAGGAAAUUGGAUGCACCUGAGCUCCUCAUUUUGGAGUGUCAAAUCAAAAGGGUGUGAAUACUUAUGUAAAUGAGAUAUUUCUGUAUUUCAUUUUCAAAACAUUUGCUAAAAUUUCUAAAAACUUGCUUUCACAUUGUCAUUAUGGGGGAUUGUGUAUAGAUGGGUGAAAGAAAACAUAUAUUUAAUCCAUUUUGAAUUAAGGCUGUAACACAACAAAAUGUUGAAUAAGUCAAGGGGUAUGAUUACUUUCUGAAGGCAAAGUAUAUGAAAAUCAUUUAGGCCAACACACUCCACUAGAUCAAACACAAUAAUGGUACCAAACCUCUCCUGUCCUUGGUGGACAAGAGGGACUUGGUAGCACUACUCACUGCAUUCCCCGAAGAGAACAGAAGAUUAUCAGAGAGUAAACAAAAUGCACUGCUGCUUUUUCCCCUCCCCACAUCUUUUUCCUGAUACGCAUUAUUACACUGACACCUGUGUGUAACAUGUGGAAUUUAAUGUAUAUUCAUUUGCCAUUUGUUUCCUCCUAAACAAGGUGCAGGGCCUGGGUUCGUUGUGUGUCUGCUGGGAACGACGUAAGGGAACGCCAGCUGCAGAUUUACAGUCUGCUGUGCAGUCCGAAAAUAUGCUGUAAAGCUCCGGCAGUCAUUGUUAUAAAUAUAAAUCAAUUCAUUUUUCAGUCCUCCCUCACUGCGUUUUCAGUUUAACGUGACACGUUCAUAUGGUGUCAGCGAGAAAAGUUACAUAGAAAAAGGAUAAACAUUUUGCAAGUGUUACCAGACCACAGUGCAAGAUUUCGCUCAUGAUCUAUCUGCAAAAUGUGUAGUUGUUUUAACAUAAUAUAGUUCCAACGAUUCACUAUGUUUUUUUCCUGGCAAUAAAUGGUUUUGUAUUGGUUUGACUUAUUGGUCCUAUUAUUGAAAGUCUUAUACAAUGAGGCCAGAAUUUUAUCACAUACUGAGUACACUGUUUGAAGAUAUGGUGCCUAUA
ensembl:lncRNA